CAGUCGUACCUGCGGGUAAUCAGCCUUUUGGGUGUGAUUAUGUGGAGCGUGAGGAGUUAAUCACCCUCAUCUUUGCAUAUUCGUGCACUUUGGGUGUACUUGCUCGUGUGGUAGGUUAACAUCAAUUUUGAUCAUCAUAAAAUGAUUGGAGGAAUGUAGCUUCGAUCUCGUAUUGAAGUGUUAUAGACUUUGGUAGAUGUGAUGAUCGGGAUUGAGGAUUGCAACGGAUACCCUUCGGGGCUACCCGUCUGAUCUCUGAAAGUUGCUCUGGUGCUGAAAGCUUGCUUAUGGUAUCAAAGUUGACGUUCAAUAGGUUAGAACGGGAUAAA
rnacentral:rRNA from 1 species